AGCGAACGCUGGCGGCAGGCCUAACACAUGCAAGUCGAACGGCAGCACAGUAAGAGCCUGCUCUUACGGGUGGCGAGUGGCGGACGGGUGAGGAAUAACUCGGAAUCUACUUGUUCGCGGGGGAUAACGUAGGGAAACUUACGCUAAUACCGCAUACGAACUACGGGUGAAAGCAGGGGAUCUUCGGACCUUGCGCGAUUGAAGGAGCCGAUGUCGGAUGAGCUAGUUGGCGGGGUAAAGGCCCACCAAGGCGACGAUCCGUAGCUGGUCUGAGAGGGUGAUCAGCCACACUGGAACUGAGACACGGUCCAGACUCCUACGGGAGGCAGCAGUGGGGAAUAUUAGACAAUGGGCGCAAGCCUGAUCCAGCCGUACCGCGUGGGUGAGGAAGGCCUUCGGGUUGUAAAGCCCUUUUGUUGGGGAAGAAAAGCAGCCGGUUAGUACCCCGCUGUUGUGACGGUACCCAAAGAAUAAGCACCGGCUAACUUCGUG
rnacentral:rRNA from 1 species